rnacentral:rRNA from 1 species
UACGUAGGGUGCAAGCGUUAUCCGGAAUUAUUGGGCGUAAAGAGCUCGUAGGCGGUUUGUCGCGUCUGCUGUGAAAACUGGGGGCUCAACCCCCAGCCUGCAGUGGGUACGGGCAGACUAGAGUGCGGUAGGGGAGAUUGGAAUUCCUGGUGUAGCGGUGGAAUGCACAGAUAUCAGGAGGAACACCGAUGGCGAAGGCAGAUCUCUGGGCCGUAACUGACGCUGAGGAGCGAAAGCGUGGGGAGCGAACAGG